rnacentral:lncRNA from 1 species
CGAGGGGAGUCUGAAGGGGUGGGGCACGACUGGUAGCCCCCAGGGCCUCAUCUCAAGCGCACGGGGCUGUCCCCACCCCCAAGGUCGGAGACUUGGGGUGCCAGGAGAAGAGGAAGGCUUGAAGACCAGACAUACGCCGAGAGAGAGAGAGAGAGAGAGAGAGAGAGAGAGAGAGAGAGAGAGAGAGAGAGAGAGAGAGACGCCGACCUCUAGUAAAAGCAGGAAAACAAUUCAAAAGUGACAGGAGAGGUUUGGUAGGGGGUGGAGAGUUCACGGAGGACAGGCGCAUGGGGUGCAUUCCAAGAAAAAGUACAUCACCACUAUACUGCACUCUCUCUCAGGUCAGAACAGGUACCAUCCCAUGGUCUUCGAAGGUGACGGGAGCCAAGUGAGCUAUUCGCCCCCACGGUCAUUACCUCCACUUUGAGAUGAAGGAUCAGAAGAUCAGAAAACUAGCGAUUUGGCCAAGAUCAGCAGGCAUGGGCGGAAACAUUUACUUAACACAAUUAUAGCAGAAAUCUCUGCAACCGUGCUUAAUUGCUCUAAUGCUCUAUAGUUAUAGGGUGCCAUUGUCUUCCCGGCUGGCCCUCGGGAGCUCCCUUCGAGAUUGCUACUAAGAAGCAGCAGCUGCCAGGCACAGAUGUGGGUGUUAUCCAUGGCACAGCCGUUCUCCAUGUGACACGGAUGGAUCAUACCCGACGCUCUUGCCCAUUUUGGAAUCAACCCAGAGUCACGUGACAAGAAUACUGCAUUCUGCAGAGGAUCCUCUCAAACCUCCCUGCCCAUUCUGCAUCCUUGUGGGGUCUUUAAGGAGGUUUGAAAUUUCUAUUUGGCAGGCAACAAAAUAGCAGUGCCCAAGGUGUUUUUCAUUAAAUACAUCCAGGCUGAAGCCAGGGCUGCCGCCAGAUUCCUGGGCUAGUAUGUUCUAUUUGACAAAGCAAAGGAAGACAAAGGAAUUGAUACAACCGCAACCGCACUGACAGGCAGAUCCAGAGAGCUCACAGCUCCCUGCUGAGGAUGAAGAGCCCUCCUCUGAGUUCAACUUGCCUCCCAGUUGCCAUGGUUACCUUUCUGGUUUCCAGACAGAAACUUUCUGAAGUUCACAAUGUAUCCAGACUUCUCUUCCCAGCAGGUCAGUUCCUAUCUGUGAUUUCAGAGAUGUGAUUGACUCCACAGUAGCUGUGAAUCUAGCCCAUUGAAUAUGCUGGUGAAUUGCACUGGCUCUGACAAAACCUGACCUCAUUUUUGCCCAGCAGGUCCAGCACAGCUGCCAUCUCUUUAAUGGAGGGUGUAGGGACAACAGCUUUGUGGCCUGGGUCAUCUGGGAUCAGCAAUCUGGGCAAAGCUGGGGGUCAG